GAUGAACGCUGGCGGCGUGCUUAACACAUGCAAGUCGAACGAUGAAAGCGGGAGCUUGCUCCUGCUGGAUUAGUGGCGAACGGGUGAGUAACACGUGAGCAAUCUGCCCCGAACUCUGGGAUAAGCGUUGGAAACGACGUCUAAUACCGGAUACGACGCGCGAAGGCAUCUUCUGCGCGUGGAAAGAAUUUCGGUUCGGGAUGAGCUCGCGGCCUAUCAGCUAGUUGGUGAGGUAACGGCUCACCAAGGCGACGGCGGGUAGCCGGCCUGAGAGGGUGACCGGCCACACUGGGACUGAGACACGGCCCAGACUCCUACGGGAGGCAGCAGUGGGGAAUAUUGCACAAUGGGCGCAAGCCUGAUGCAGCAACGCCGCGUGAGGGACGACGGCCUUCGGGUUGUAAACCUCUUUUAGUAGGGAAGAAGCGAAAGUGACGGUACCUGCAGAAAAAGCACCGGCUAACUACGUGCCAGCAGCCGCAGUAAUAC
rnacentral:rRNA from 1 species